CGCAUUGACUUUACACUACUAUUCUCCAGCUGCAUAUAAAUACGUUAGGGAAUGCUACAAUAAAGCUCUUCCACAUCCUAGGAUAAUUUGCAGAUGGUAUUCAACGGUUAAUGCAGAACCCGGUUUCACAACAGAAGCAUUUGCAGCCUUGAAGAAGAAAUCCCAAUCCAACACAAAUUCAAAUAAACCUGUACUCUGCUCUUUAGUCUUUGACGAAAUAGCUAUCAGGAGACAGAAGCUUUUUCACAACAAUCAAAAAUUGGGGGCAGUUAAUUUUGGAGCAGGUCCUAUGCAAGGUGAAGAAGACGAGACUAUGGCAACGCAAGCUUUAGUAUUUAUGCUCGUUGCCCUAAACGAAAAUUGGAAAUUACCUGUGGGUUACUUUCUGAUAGCCGGUGUGAAUGCUGAAACAAAGGCAAAUUUGCUUGAAAUAAAAAUAUGCUUGCAGAAGUGCCAUGAGGUUGGCGUAAUAGUUUUAAGUCUUACAUUUGAUGGUUGUUCUGCAAACUUUGAUGCAGCUGAAAUUUUGGGCUGUAAAUUAUCUGACGUCAGUAUUAUGAAGACUUAUUUUCCACAUCCAUGCACGGGAGAAAACGUUUGCAUUUUUAUAGACCCUUGCCAUGUUAUAAAAUUAAUAAGAAACACGUUCGAAAAGAAUACUGUUAUUUGAUAAUAAUGACAAACAAAUCAAAUGGCAACUACUAAUAAAUCUUAAUAAACUUCAACAAAACGAAGGUCUUAGAUUCGGAAACAAGUUAACACCUCGUCAUAUACAUUUUCGACAACAGGUAAUGAACUCGGCCAUUACUUACAAUUCUGCGAAGCGUGCCCGUCGUCAUCUGUCCGCGCACACUGACAAUCCCUUUAACAAAGACUUUAUUUGACCAGAUUCUUUUGAAUCUCCUUUUGUGUGUCAUAGUUUACUUUAAAUAUUUAUACAUUGAUUCCAUCUUAUCUAAACUUUACACUAACCGGAGCAUCCUAUACAGUACCCUAAAAUCUCUUGACGUUGCACUCAUCCUCAGCAAAUAAUUGCUUCCUAAAAAUGAUGGGAAUUAGGACACCAGUUAAGAAAACACAAACCAGCCCGCAGAGUAAGAGCCCAGAGAAAACAGGGGAAGAGGCAGGAACCUCAAACGCUGCCAAUGUUGAAGAAGGGUACCGUACCACUGCUAGCCCAACAAAACAAUCAGGACUAUCUAAGCCAUCAAUAAAGCUAACACCAACGCGCUUAGAUCAAAAUGCCCAGAGCAGCAAGCCAACCACAAUCGUACCUCGUAAACCACAAAGCGUACAUUCGGCUUCAUCAAAAGUCUACGAGAGCCGCACGAAAGAAGCUAGAUCCUGCCUUAUCAAAAUCAAAGGACAACUAGAGGAAUCUAGAAACUUGAAAAAGGGAAUAAAAGCAACAGUAUACGAACUGCUAGAAAGGGCUCUACCACCUUGUAAAAGAAGCGGAACAAUAUACAGGAAACACAAGCCAAAAGGAAAAAUUAAAGGAAAAAGAGCAAGGAACGAUUGAAGCGGUAGGGGACGCCGGGGCUGAAAGUUCCCGGGGCACGUUGUUCCGACAGUAAUAACUUUGUAAAGAAAAGAGAUAGCAAUACACGUGAAGUGCGUCAUUGAAGCAACAGGAGACGCGCCACGCUGGCCGCCAUCUUAGUUACAGCGGCGGACGAGUGGCUGUGUGCACCGCGCUAUUAGAACACCACGAUGGUACGUGCCUACAAACGGAAAACUGAGAGAGGGAAAACAUCUGAAACGUUAUUACGCCAAGCUGCCAAUGCUGUCAUACAAGAUGGAAGAAAAGUAAAAACGGUAGCCAGAGAAUUAGAAAUUUGCCACAUGACAUUACAUCGAUUUGUAAAAAAAAUGAGAGCUGGUAAAGAUCUUACCGUAGGUUAUAAAAGCAGAUCAGUGUUUACUGCGGAACAGGAAAAAGAGCUAGUUAAAUACAUUUUAAAGUGUUCAUCUAUAUACUUCGGUUUGCUGCCAGGAGAGGUGCGAAAACUAGCGUAUGAAUGCGCAGUUAGAUUUUCUUUGGGAAACAUUCCUCCUUCGUGGCUUAAGAAUCGAGAAGCUGGGGAGGAUUGGUUCACUGGCUUUAUUAAAAGGAACCCAGUAUUGUCUAUACGAACACCAGAAGCGACAAGUGCAGGACGUGCAUCUGCAUUUAACAAACAUAAUGUAGAUGAAUUUUUCACAAAGCUCGGCGAUAUUCUACUCAAAUAUAAGUUAUCACCUUCUAGAAUAUGGAACCUGGACGAGACUGGAGUCACGACUGUCUUAAAGCCGAAGAAGAUUGUAGCACAAAAAGGCGCAAAACAGGUUGGUGCUAUCGUUUCUGCUGAGCGUGGAACUUUAGUUACUGUAGAGUUAGCAGCAAGCGCCGCAGGAAACACGAUUCCACCAAUGUUUGUGUUUCCCCGUUUGAAAUUCAAAGACUUGUUUUUAAGAGAUGGGCCCUCUGAGUCAAUUGGAGCUGGGAAUAAAUCAGGAUGGAUGACUGCUACUGAAUUCCUCACAUAUAUUGAUCACUUUAUCAAGUUCACGAAACCCACUCCAGAAGAACCAGUGUUACUAUUAUUGGACAACCACUCGUCACACGUAGACAUCAACGUAGUUGAGAAAGCUAAAGCGAACUCUAUAAUAAUGCUGUCGUUCCCACCUCACUGCACACACAGGCUACAGCCACUGGAUGUGGGCAUCAAUGGGCCUUUUAAAUCGUAUUGUACUAAAGGUCAAGACAACUGGCUACGGAAUCACCCGGGAAAAACAAUGUCAAUUUAUGAAAUUCCCGGAAUCGUUAAAUCGGCAUGGCCUUUAGCAGCAACACCUGUAACAAUUAUGAACGCUUUUAAAAAGGCUGGAAUAUGUCCCUUUAACCCUGGCGUUUUUACAGAGGAGGAUUAUGCACCUUCUUUCGUGACAGAUCGGCCAUUGUUACAAGCUGCGUCGUCUCAAGCUGCGUCGUCUCAAGCUGCGUCAAAUGAGGAACCCCUCCAGCCUUCUAGCAGUUCAGUUACGAGUGAAAUGGAUGACCAGCCAGGACCAUCCAAUAUUCAAAUUAAUUUUCAGCUGGAAUCUACAACCAUAAACACUUCGACAUCGGGUCAGAUUGGUGAACCACCCCAACAAUCUGCAACAGAUCAGGGUGAUGUAUCUCAGGCUGCCUCUGUGGCCAUUAAUAGUCCCCAAGGACUUCAAUGCACACCAGUAAAGACAAAUGCUUCAGCUGUGUUUAAUCCUGAAAUUGUAAAGCCUUUACCAAAGGCACCCCGAAAACCGACACGCCAGAAAAAAACGCAUUAGCUGAAGAACAGGCAAAGAAGAAAGCAAGGAAAGGCGAAACCAUUGGAAACAAGGGGAAAGAAAACAAAAAUUACAAAGGAAAAGGCAAAGGAAAGGGAAAAGCUCAAGAAAAAGCUAAACGAAGAGUUUUACAAGAAAGCGAGAGUGAUAGUGAUGAUGAGGAUCUGGAAUGGUACUGCAUCAUUUGUUGUGAUUCAUAUUCAAAUUCACUUCCAAGAGAACAGUGGAUAGAAUGUGGCAUGUGUAAAAAUUGGGCACAUGUUAAAUGUAUAAAUGAAACUGAUAAUAUUAUGUAUGUGUGUCCCAACUGUGAGUCAGAUGAAGAAGAGUGAUGAAUAAGAAUAAAAGUUACCAAAGUUGAUUGAUUAAAACAAGGCUGAUGAUUUGUCUUCAUUUUAAUUUUAUUUCACUUAAUAUAAAUAAUUUAAUAACUUUAAGAUGAUAAAUAAUAUUGACGUUAGAAGUUUCGUUUUGUUAUUUAAUUAUAAUUGCAAGUUUGAUCUCACUUUUCAUUAAAUUUAUUAAUAAAACGUUUGCAAGAAGGUUGCCUGUUGAAUUAUGUAGUUAAAUAAGUGCAGUUAUUUUUGUAAUUAGGUUAAGCAAUCUUUAUUAUGGUUGAAUUAAUAAAAGAUUUAUAUAUAUAAUAUAUACUAAAUAAAUGUAACUAUUGAAAUUAUUGUUUUAUUUUAAAUAAACCAUACAUUAUCCUUACACUUAAUGUUAUAUUAUCCAAGUGGCACAAUUUACCCCACACAUGGAACAACUCGCCCCAAAGUGGGGUUGAAAGUUCCCUUCCGAAAUUUUGCAUAAAUAUGCCUGUACAAAAAAAGAUAUUGAGAAACUAGCAGAAAUGACUUAACUAUUACAGAGACCGAUUAAGACUUGUUAAUAAAAUCAAAUAUCAAAAUUGAAAUCUCAUCAUUUUUAUCAUAAAAUUUUGUGUUAUAUAAAAAUCGGAACUUUCAGCCCCGGCGUCCCCUAACUAAGUUUGAAAACCUUUAAAAAUACUGCCAUAGUUUAAUUGAAAUCAUAAUAAUUUUAUUUUAUUUUGUAACAUACACCUCUAGUAAAAAUACUGAUAUUACUUAAUAACAUAUUUAUUCAUAAAUAUUAGGGAAAUUAUAAGUUAAAAAUCCAGGUCUGAUAGACCCACCAGGCAUACCAUGUAACUUUCUGUUACCAGGCAUACCGAAGGUUAAAUUCUUAGGACAACGUUGAAAAUCAUUGCUAUUCACCCCGUUUUACUAUAUAACUACUACAAACCAAAGAAGCCAAAGACAAAGACGACAGAAAUAAAAGAAAAGUAACAUGGAGGCAUCUCGAGAUGCCUGCACCUAAACUGGAACUAUUCAGGCGUAGUUGUGUCUAUAUGGCUCCCCUCAUAUACAAUACGUUACCUAAGUCUAUAAGUGAUCUCCCCUAUAAAAAAUUCUGUACUGCUCUAAAGGAAUGGCUAAUAAAAGAAAAUUAUUAUUCUAUAGAUAGAUAGAUGAAUAUUUUGUGAAAAAUAAGUGUAAGUCCUUUGGGUACAAAAUAAAAAAUGUAAUUAUUUAAUUCGCCUUUAUGCCUGUUCUUAAAAUGCGUAUGUAUUAUGUAUUACCUAAGUCAUUGAGAUAACUACAAUGUAUUACUUUGUAAACAUUAGUUUAAUGUAUAAGUUUUCAAGUAAAAUAACUUGGAUAAUUUGCAUGCUGCUAUGACAGCGAAACAUGUUGAUCUCUUUUAAAUAUUUAUGUAACAACUGUAUUUACCGUGUUUCUGGCAAAUAAAUAUAUUAUUAUUAUUAUGUAUGUUCAUUACAUAAUCACGGGACCACAGGGUCCCGGACCUUUGGAAGGCGUACGAGGGGCCGAAGCCAACUCGCAGAGGCCCGUUGAACAAGUUUAAUCUAAAUGUAAGGGGACAUCAGCCGGCGAUUAUCCCUGUAUGCACUAUGGAAGUACACCAAAGGACAAUCCCCGGUUGAUGCAGGACUAUUGUGAGAUAUGGUAAAAGGAAAUGAUAGGGAUAUGGGUGUGGGUGGCUGUGGAAUAGUUAACCGGUUAACUAUGGGGACUAUGGCCCCUGCCCCUGACCAAUAUUGAAAAAUACGGAUAAACAGGCAGGGGGUGACUCGCAAACUCAAUAGUGGGCCCCCGGAAACGGCCGCUAGCAUGUAGCGACAAGGGAAGCAACAUCCGUUGAGCUGCUUGAGGAAGGGGAGGCAUCCCACGGCUAUCAGAGCAAUCCCGGAAGUACGGUCAAGACCCCUACCAGCAUCUUACUGGGAUACGUCCUUCCCCCAAGUGGAGCUGAAGGCAACUCCACUCUUGCGAAUCUCCACUCAAACCAGCCGAUUAAGGCAAGAGUGAGGUAGGAGAGGCCACUCCGGAUAGUCACGAGUACCAACCGGAGUUAAAAAGUAGGGCCUCUCCCGGGAGUUAU